UACGAAGGGGGCUAGCGUUGCUCGGAAUCACUGGGCGUAAAGGGUGCGUAGGCGGGUCUUUAAGUCAGGGGGGAAAUCCUGGAGCUCAACUCCAGAACUGCCUUUGAUACUGAGGAUCUUGAGUCCGGGAGAGGUGAGUGGAACUGCGAGUGUAGAGGUGAAAUUCGUAGAUAUUCGCAAGAACACCAGUGGCGAAGGCGGCUCACUGGCCCGAUACUGACGCUGAGGCACGAAAGCGUGGGGAGCAAACAGG
rnacentral:rRNA from 1 species